UUGUUCCUACGGGGGGCAGCAGUGAGGAAUAUUGGUCAAUGGCCGAGAGGCUGAACCAGCCAAGUCGCGUGAGGGAUGACGGCCCUACGGGUUGUAAACCUCUUUUGUCGGGGAGCAAAGAGAGUCACGUGUGGCUCAUUGAGAGUACCCGAAGAAAAAGCAUCGGCUAACUCCGUGCCAGCAGCCGCGGUAAUACGGAGGAUGCGAGCGUUAUCCGGAUUUAUUGGGUUUAAAGGGUGCGCAGGCGGAAUGUCAAGUCAGCGGUAAAAUUUCGGGGCUCAACCCCGUCGUGCCGUUGAAACUGG
rnacentral:rRNA from 1 species